rnacentral:rRNA from 1 species
UACAGAGGAGCCAAGCGUUGUCCGGAUUGACUGGGCGUAAAGCGCACGCAGGCGGUGGCGCGCGGGGGGUGUGAAAUCUGGCCGCUUAACGGCCAGGCGCCAUCCCAUACGGCGCGCCUGGAGCCUUGCAGAGGUCGGUGGAAUUGCCGGUGUAGUGGUGAAAUGCGUAGAUAUCGUAAGGAAGACCAGUGGCGAAGGCGGGUCUCUGGACAGUUCCUGACGCUGAGGCACGAAGGCCAGGGGAGCAAACGGG